rfam:Brachypodium distachyon strain Bd21 chromosome 2, whole genome shotgun sequence.
GUAUUACUCCCUUCGUCCAAUAAAAGAUGUCUCAAUUUUCACUAAAUUUGAAUGCAUCUAUACACUGAGUCAUGUUUAGAUACAUCCAAAUUUUCACAAACUUGAGAUAUCUUUUGUUGGACGGAGAAAAUAUAUA